CCCAGCACAUCCCUAGGUGUGCCCCUGGGUUAACACGUGUUCUGCCCUUUUCUUGCCACAUUGCGCCAAAUUUAUCGGCCACCUCCUUCCCGUGUAUGCCUGGCUCAGUGCAACAUGCUGAAGAGCUGGUAAGAACAGGGCCUGGCUCCUGCCUCUGGGGAAGGUGGACUACACUCUCCAGCUGGGGUGACACAACGAGCCCUUACCAAUGUGGGCAGGACGUGAAUGCAAGUGAUCUGGGUUCCUCCGGACAUGGAAGGUGAGGAAACAGAAGCUCAGCAAGUUGAAUGCGACCUGCUCAAGGUGCCCCAUAGCCUGGAUCCAGCCAACCAGUAACUGUCUGCGUGGUACCUAGACCUGCUUCCUCUCUUAGGUGUCCAGGAUCAUGACCAGUAAGGAUGCUGUGAGCUGCGACAGCUGCCAGCCAUCUUUCCUGGCAAUGGGGGGACGCAGUCUGCAGAGCAGAGGAUGCAGCCAGCACAGAGGAAAGCCCAGGAGAUGCUGGCAAGUUCCAGUAGUACCUGAACUACUGGGUCUAGCUGGGCUGAAGCUUUGUUACAAGAGUGACUCCCAGCAUCACAACUGGGGUGACUGUUGUCAAGACCCAAGGGGCUUGAGCAGCAGGAAUCAGAGCUCAUUCUGAGGACCACAGCCUGCUGUCAGGGCCUGACUGCAAUGAACCUUCAUGGAGAGUGAUCCAGACUCAGAAUUCCAGUACUGUUUUGUAAACACAGAGGUCAGCAGUCCCUCACAGUACCACUGUGCCAAGGCCUCCCCUCCUCUGAACGUGAGAGGCGCUGCCUGUGGGUCUGCGGUGGUGACAGCCCAGGCCUGGAUUGUUCAGGCAAAAAGCAAACAUGGCCUCUGAGGCGAGGGGGAGAGAGGCCUUCCUUCAGCUCUCCACAGAGGGCUUGCCUGGAUGCCCCGCGUGGCCCUGACAGCACCAGCACCCGGCUCCCUGCUGCAACAAAUGCCUGGGUGCCAUUCUGCAUUACAGGCCGGGAGUAAACCCACUCUGACAGUUGGGCUGCAGUCCACGGAGUGAACUCUGAUUUUCUGCUGCUCAAGCCCGUUGGGUCUUGAGGAUGGGGUCACCGCAGUUGUGAUGCUAGGAGUCACUGGAGUGAUAAAGUCAAAUCCCUUCCACCCGCAGGGUUGUCAGGUUGAGGUCACAUGUUGCCCAAGAGAGUCGAGAGAAGAAAUUCUAUGAAACCUACUUAUAUUUACUCACACUUUCUUAUGAAAGAUAGAACACAACUUCAUCCCAGGAUGAAGCAGAGAAAUGGAGUGGGAAGGGAGGGGCUGGGGAGGUUUGACGGAGGGGAAAGGCGGGACCACACCUAUAGAGCAUAGGGCAAGGGUACAAGUCAAAUCUGUCAAGUGUAGAACAUAGAUGUUUUGGCACAAUAAUCAAGUAAAUGAGGUGAAAGCUGUGCUGAUUGGUUUGAUCUAGGCAUGUCAGAUUGUAUAAAUAAAAAAAA